CUUGCACUGGUGGGGUCCCUCAGCCUGGCCUGCACCCUCUCACAAUCUGGGACCCCUCGGGGGAUUCGGAGAGCCGGUUUCGGCCCAAUACCACAGGCCAGGCUGAGGGACUCCACUGGUGCACA
rnacentral:pre_miRNA from 1 species